AGCUCCAUUAGCGUAUAUUAAAGUUGUUGCAGUUAAAAAGUUCGUAGUUGGAUUUCAGUACGGGCCAGUUGGUCGGCCGCAAGGCCUGUUACUGACUGGUCUGUUCUUCUUCUCAAAGACUGCGCGUGCUCUUCGUUGAGUGUGUGUAGGAUUUGGGACGUUUACUUUGAAAAAAUUAGAGUGUUCAAGGCAGGCUUGUAAGCUUGAAUACAUGAGCAUGGAAUAAUGGAAUAGGACUACGGUCCCUAUUUCGUUGGUUUCGAGGACCGAAGUAAUGAUUAAGAGGGACAGUUGGGGGCAUCCGUAUUUCGUAGUCAGAGGUGAAAUUCUUGGAUUUACGAAAGACGAACAACUGCGAAAGCAUUUGCCAAGAGUGUUUUCAUUAAUCAAGAACGAAAGU
rnacentral:rRNA from 1 species